AUGUCGUCGCCGGUGUCCAAUUCCAAGAAGUUGCGCGGAUCAGCAGCACAUGGUGUUGACAGGCUCAGCAGCCUUCCUGACCCGCUGCUCCAUCUUGUGAUGUCCUUCCUGCCGAUGCCAGAAGUCGUCCGCACAUGCUUGCUCUCCCCAAGGUGGCGUGAUCUCUGGGCCUCCGUGCCCUUCAUCCACCUAGACUACAAUGACUUCGUGGAUGGUGAGGAUGAUCAGGAGAAGAGAGUGAUGGAUCAGAAUAGGCUGCAUAAGUUUGGGGAUCAGUUGCUAUUCCUGCGGGAUGGCACUCUACCCUUCGAUGAGGCUCGGAUCUUAUUCAGAGAUGGUGAUUUUGAAACCAAAUGUGAUACGUGGAUUCGUCAUGCCAUCAGGCAUAAAGCUCGUUUGCUUCAUCUCUAUGGUUCUAGCGACAUCAGAAUAAUAUUCGACAACAGGUCAAUGUUUUCUUCUCAGCACCUGAGAAGAAUCAAGCUCCAAGAGGUCAGUUUGGAUGACAGUUUUUUCAAGCUGCUGAAUUUUGACUUCCAUGUGCUUGAACAUCUAGAGCUGGAGCAUUGCAAUGUCUUGGACCCGCAGCAGAUGUCAUCAAGGGAUUUGCAUUAUCUAGUUACAACUUCUAUAAGUCUAAGAUCUGGUGUUCUCCAAGGCAAUCGAGGCAAAAUAUUGGACUAUAGUAUACUCCAUGGCCUCUCACAUGUCACAGCCUUGGAGUUGUAUGCACCAUUAUCUGAGCACGCAUUCGAGAGGGGUUUGCAAACAUGCCCAGUGUUUGGCAACCUCACAAGUCUGGUGCUGCACGAAUGGUGCAUGGCUUCCGACUUCACUCCGCUGCUUCUCAUUCUCCGGCACUCCCCUAAACUGAAGGAUCUGACCUUUAAGCUCAAAAUGCAGCAGUGUGGAACAUGCAAGGAUGUUUACCGUCAUCUGUCAGCGAGGAAGGAAUCGUCACCGGAGAACUAUCCUAGCAUCGAGAGGACUGUGAUCUACUGCGGCAAAGAUGAUCCAAGGAUGUCCUCCCAACUCCCCGACGAACUCCUCGACCUGGCCUACGGCCGGAUCACCAACCCGCUCGGCCGCGUGCGCUUCGCCGCCGUCUGCCGGGCGUGGCGCGCCGUCGCAUUCUGGCGCCGCCUCCGGCGCCUCUCCCGAUGCUGCUCCUCUCCACUUACGACCGCGGCAAAACCAAGGACCUCUACUGCCUUGAGGACGGUGGGGUCCUCCGUGUCCGCCUUCCACGCACGCCCAAAGGCGUGGCGCGCAAACGGAUCGUCGGAUCUCACCAAGGUGGAUGGGUUGCCAUGGUGUCAGCUGGCCGCGUCAUGAGUUAAUUCUACUACAGGGUGGACCGUGAAAGCAUGUGGCAUGGGGAUGCUCAAGGAUAUAGCUUUCUACCAUGGGGAGCUCUACGGGCUCCUCCAACUAGAUGGUCAGGUGGUCAGAUUGCUGAAGUUCGGCACCAGCAGCAGCACAUAUGAACUUGUACUGGUCACGACCAUCCAGACCAUGGUCACCGAAAGCCUUCCUUAUCUCUUGAUGGAGGAGGACCACGACGCGGUUGUGCAUGCCAUCUACAUCUUCGAGAUGGGCAACAAGCUGACGAUGGCGGUCAAGACCGGAGAGUAUUUCUUCAGGCUAUAUGAGCUACUCAUAUGUGCCAACGCUAACUCUAGGUGGGGAGAGAUGACAAGCUUGCAUGACUACGCACUAUUCUUGGGCCCAACGUGCUCCACGGCUGUGGAGGUGUGUGUGCGGAAGGGCGUGGCGGCGUGCAGAGAAACCACAUCUAUUACUCCAAUGAAAGAUAUGGCCAUCUUCCUCUUCAUAAGAGGUAUCUCACAAAAAUUGCCGAUGGUCGUGCCGUGUACUACGACGAUGAUGAAAUACCGUGUUACGACGGGAAGGUGA
rnacentral:rRNA from 1 species